rnacentral:rRNA from 2 species
AAAACGACUCUCGGCAACGGAUAUCUUGGCUCUCGCAUCGAUGAAGAACGUAGCGAAAUGCGAUACUUGGUGUGAAUUGCAGAAUCCCGUGAACCAUCGAGUCUUUGAACGCAAGUUGCGCCCUAAGCCUUCUGGCCGAGGGCACGUCUGCCUGGGUGUCACAA